AAUAAGAUGCCUGAUUAAAGGAUCAUUUUGAUGUAAUGAAUAAUACAUUAAUAUGUUCUUAUUG
rnacentral:tRNA from 1 species